GGGGGGGGGGGGGGGGGGGGUGGGCGGGGGGGAGGCGGGCGGGAAGGGCGUGGUGUUGGGGGGGGGUGGGGUGGGGGACGGGUGUGUGACAGGUGGGUAACGUGCGGUUGGAUGUGGGGUAACUUGAGGAGCGUUGGGGUAAAGCCGGCUCGGAGCUGGUGCUGGAGGGUGGGGGUUGGAACGUUUCGGUGGUUGGGGAUGGAGUUGCGGCUUAUCAUCUUGUUGGUAGGGUAGUGGCUUACCAAGGCUUUGAAGGGUAGGCGGCCUGAGGGGUUGACCGCACACAUUGGAACUGAGCUGCGGCCCAGACUCCUACGGUCGGCAGCAGUGGGGAAUAUUGCGCAAUGGGCGGAAGCCUGAUGCAGCAACGCCGCGUGCGGGAUGACGGCCUUCGGGUUGUAAACCGCUUUCGCCUGUGACGAAGCGUGAGUGACGGUAAUGGGUAAAGAAGCACCGGCUAACUACGUG
rnacentral:rRNA from 1 species